rnacentral:rRNA from 2 species
UUAGCGGAGUAUCCGUAGGUGACCUGCGGAGCAUAUCAAUGAGCGGAGGAAUCCGUAGGUGAACCCGCGGAAACGGGACUGACCGCCGGAAGACCCAAACUCUAAUGUUUCUUAUUGUAACUUCUGAGUAAAACAAACAAAUAAAUCAAAACUUUCAACAACGGAUCUCUUGGUUCUGGCAUCGAUGAAGAACGCAGCAAAAUGCGAUAAGUAAUGUGAAUUGCAGAAUUCAGUGAAUCAUCGAAUCUUUGAACGCACAUUGCGCCCGCUGGUAUUCCGGCGGGCAUGCCUGUUCGAGCGUCAUUUCAACCCUCAAGCCCCCGGGUUUGGUGUUGGGGAUCGGCUCUGCCCUUCUGGGCGGUGCCGCCCCCGAAAUACAUUGGCGGUCUCGCUGCAGCCUCCAUUGCGUAGUAGCUAACACCUCGCAACUGGAACGCGGCGCGGCCAUGCCGUAAAACCCCAACUUCUGAAUGUUGACCUCGGAUCAGGUAGGAAUACCCGCUGAACUUAAGCAUAUCAAUAAGCGGAGGAAAU